rnacentral:rRNA from 1 species
GGGCACGACACCGGAGAGGGAGCCUGAGAAACGGCUACCACAUCCAAGGAUGGCAGCAGGCGCGCAAAUUACCCAAUCCCGACACGGGGAGGUAGUGACAAUAAAUAACAAUACGGGGUUCUUUAGGAUCUCGUAAUUGGAAUGAGUACAAUUUAAAUCUCUUAACGAGGAACAAUUGGAGGGCAAGUCUGGUGCCAGCAGCCGCGGUAAUUCCAGCUCCAAUAGCGUAUAUUAAAGUUGUUGCAGUUAAAAAGCUCGUAGUUGAAUUUCGGGGUUAGUAGGUUGGUCAUGCCUCUGGUAUGUACUGGUCUCACUGAUUCCUCCUUCCUUAUGAACCGUAAUGCCAUUAAUUUGGUGUUGCGGGAAAUUUGGACUGUUACUUUGAAAAAAUUAGAGUGUUUAAAGCAAGCUAACGCUUGAAUACAUUAGCAUGGAAUAAUGAAAUAGGACGUUCGAUCUUAUUUUGUUGGUUUCUAGGAUUGACGUAAUGAUUAAUAGGGAUAGUUGGGGGCAUUAGUAUUCAAUUGUCAGAGGUGAAAUUCUUGGAUUUAUUGAAGACUAACUACUGCGAAAGCAUUUGCCAAGGAUGUUUUCAUUAAUCAAGAACGAAAGUUAGGGGAUCGAAGACGAUCAGAUACCGUCGUAGUCUUAACCAUAAACUAUGCCGACUAGGGAUCGGAUGAUGUUAAUUUUUUAAUGACUCAUUCGGCGCCUUACGGGAAA